rnacentral:rRNA from 1 species
AUGAAUAACCUAGGUCGUUUUGUCCCCAGCCUCACCUAUUCGCUCCCACGCCGGCCGCCGCCCCUCGCGGCUGUGACCAACCUCCAUCCCGGCGCGCCGCCCUUCUUCACUCCGCUGCGGUCCUCCAUCCCGGCGGCCGCCAGCACCACUCCCCUGCAACACUGCAUCCCAGUGCGCCGCCCCUCGUCACCACUCCCCUAUGGUCCUCUCCUCCGUCCCGGCGCGCCGCCAGCACCACUCCCCUGCGACUCUGCAUCCCGGCGCGCCGCCCCUCGUCACCCCUCCCCUGCGACCAUUGGUGAAUCCAAGGAACAAAUGUUUGAGCCCUAG